rnacentral:tmRNA from 1 species
GGGGUCGACUGGAUUUGACAGCAAGACCUAUAAAUUGUAAGCACGUCGUGUAAUGGUAUCGAUACACGUUAAAGACCAUACCAAAAUUUAAACGGCGAAAAUAACUACGCUUUAGCUGCUUAAUCUGAAUUAUAGUAAGAUUAGCCUAGGUGUACAAGGUACACAAGCUUUAUGUCUCAAGAAAGCCCUGAUUCAUGGCGUUCGUAUAAGAGGCAUCGUGAAAAUGGAUCUAGAAAUUCUUAUUGCUUAGUAAGAUUUUUGAAUUUUUUAAGCUAAGGAGUUAAUAUAUUGUUUUUAGUUAGUUUGCUCUCGAAAAUAAAAUAAAAACUAAACGUGUAGAAAGCCUUUUUUUAGCUUGUUUGGACGAGGGUUCGAUUCCCUCCGACUCCACUU